rnacentral:snRNA from 1 species
UGGAUUGUUCACCCACCAA